GGGACACGUGGUAUCCUGUCUGAAUAUGGGGGGACCAUCCUCCAAGGCUAAAUACUCCUGACUGACCGAUAGUGAACCAGUACCGUGAGGGAAAGGCGAAAAGAACCCCGGCGAGGGGAGUGAAAAAGAACCUGAAACCGUGUACGUACAAGCAGUGGGAGCCUACUUGUUAGGUGACUGCGUACCUUUUGUAUAAUGGGUCAGCGACUUAUAUUCUGUAGCAAGGUUAACCGUAUAGGGGAGCCGCAGGGAAACCGAGUCUUAACUGGGCGUUAAGUUGCAGGGUAUAGACCCGAAACCCGGUGAUCUAGCCAUGGGCAGGUUGAAGGUUGGGUAACACUAACUGGAGGACCGAACCGACUAAUGUUGAAAAAUUAGCGGAUGACUUGUGGCUGGGGGUGAAAGGCCAAUCAAACCGGGAGAUAGCUGGUUCUCCCCGAAAGCU
rnacentral:rRNA from 2 species